UAGGCCUAUAGUUAUUUGACAAUUGUGAAAGUUACUGUUAUAUUUAUUAACAACCUUCCAGGCUAGACUUGGGUGAUAAAAGAAACUUGAGAUUAUGAGAAAUAAGAGUUAAAACAGGAAAGUUAUUCGACAUAUGACUUUUAUAUGCGGUGACAUCUUUUCGAAUGUCGCUUUUUUUUUCUUUUUUUUUUUUUUUUUUUACAAAUUUCGCUUUUAUGUAAUUUACCGCCGUGCGAUUGAUACAUUUUGUAAUAUUUAAAAUGAACCCAUGUAAAAUUAUGAGAUCUACCUAUUGCUUAUAGUUUAAGAAAAACAUACCAAACCAUGAAAAUGAGGUCACGGUCAGACGAACUCUGCUAUACAGAUAUGUACACCUUACAAUCCUUACAUGCUUAAAAUAUAGUUGACCUUUUGAGUAUUG
rnacentral:lncRNA from 1 species